UGUUGCACGCCUUUGGGGGGGAUGAGAACCCCCCGACCGGGGUUCGACAACUGGCGCAGCCAGUUGGACAGACUGAGAGCGUAGCGAACAGGCUGCCCGAAGGGCGAGCGAAGCGAGUCAAUCCCCCCCCUCACCGCCA
rnacentral:sRNA from 1 species